rnacentral:lncRNA from 1 species
UCUUCAGAGCGCUACCUUGUGUUCAGAAGUGCCAAUGCCUGACUGCUGCAGAAGUGUGAAAGCUCAUCUCUCUUACCUUAAAGCGAUAACAGCUGCAUGGCCAGAAGCUGUCUGACUAGACUCUGGAGUCUCAUGAAGCUUCGCAACUUCCAGAGGAAGACUUAAAUGGUAAAUCGCCAUUACUUUUGGUCAAAUUCAGCUCCUUUCUCAGCAGCAGCUACGCAUUCCUCACCCUCCAACCUCUUGGCAGACAGUCCUACGCGUGUUCCAGAGCAAUUUUCACACAGUUAGCAGGAACCAAGCAACCACUGAAUAAAGAGUAGCCCAGGAAGAAUUACAAUCUCAUAGGCACUGAUAUAGCAGUGCUAAGAAGAGAUGACAUAACUCAGCUUUAGAUUGCACCCUCAAGAAAUCAUGCUGAAUUUCACAACAGGAGUGGCACAUAUCUCCAAAGAGCCACAGCCUUCCAGGUGGGCACCUCCUUUCCCCAGCUUCUCUUCCUUCUGACCGUCUGACUUGGAACCACAUGAGUAACUGACACAUCCUAUGGUCACAUGGACAGUGCCCUAUGAACAGCUCUCUGUUGACCAACAAAAAGAUGCUUCGUUUAUAGAUGGCAUUUUCAAGGUGGAAACACAGCAUCCUAUUUGGAAGACUGCUGCACUAAGACCAGCAUAUGAAAUGACUGAUUGAAGAAGGUGUCAGCAUCACUGCUCUGCUAUCCUUUAAGAGGCAGAUUUCCUGGUCGUACAUGGUCUUUAGUGAUUUGCAGGAAGAAUUUCAACUCACUUCACUGCCAGUUGGUGCCCGUGUAACUGCAUAAAGGUAAGAUACAGUUGUAGUUUAUCUUCUUGGCAAGUGACGGGACUUACUUGUUUGUUCUCCAAGGAUCAUGUGGACUUAUGUUGAGGAUUACUGCUAGAAACUAGAAACCAAAUAUCUAACUUGUGCAACCUUAUUCCUGUGCUGUGAAAAUAGACCAAGGCAUGGGAGGAGUUAUACAAAUGUAAAGUUCUCUGAAUUUUAAAAAGCUAACUUAGGACUUCAGGAAUAACAGCUGAUCAUUUUCAAACUGCAAACUGACUGGAGGAAUAAUUGUGCUUUCACACAGGUGAAAUCUUUGAAAUGGGAAGAUGAUUAUGUCUUUAAAUGUAAAAGAUUACCCACAUCUUCAAUGACAGCUUAAGUGAAACACACCGCAUUCAAUAUAAUCUGGAAAACCCAGCUCUAGUUCACUGCAGAUGCGUACCAUCUCCUGUAAUUCUAAUUGCACAUCAGACUAAGUUUACCUGCAGGGAUCAAGAAGUAUGGCAAGGCCAAUAUAGCAACAACAUGGUGCUCAUCUGCUCUGGUGUACUAGGAUGAAAUAGCGUAUUGACCCUGAAUCUAUACUCUGAGUAAAAGCAAUUGUCAUUCUGCCACUGUAACACCUUGUUGCCAGUGGCGAUGUAAUUAAAGCUGUGAGGACUCAUUUUCCAUUCUUAUCUCUUAAGCUUCUCUGAAUCAGAAACUGUUUGUCUGUGGUAACUGAGAAAACCUACUACAAGGCUACAUGUUUAUGUAUGAAUUUUUGGUAGCUUUUCCUUUUUUAGGGGCUGAAGUUAUAUGCAUAAUUACCUACAU